UACGAAGGGGGGCUAGCGUUGCUCGGAAUUACUGGGCGUAAAGGGCGCGUAGGCGGACAGCUUAGUCAGAGGUGAAAGCCCAGGGCUCAACCUUGGAAUUGCCUUUGAUACUGGCUAUCUUGAGUUCGGGAGAGGUGAGUGGAAUGCCGAGUGUAGAGGUGAAAUUCGUAGAUAUUCGGCGGAACACCAGUGGCGAAGGCGGGUCUCUGGGCCGAAACUGACGCUGAGGAGCGAAAGCGUGGGGAGCAAACAGG
rnacentral:rRNA from 1 species